UGCUGCGAGAUCUUGGCUGGAAUGUAAAAGGAAUAUCCAAAAUAUUUAAAUGACAAACAGGAUGGGAACUGAUUAUGAGGAAUAUGCUGAAACAGACAUCUGGCAUAUUCCUAUAAUCAGUAUCAUGGCCUUUGUAUACAACAAAAUUGAUUGGAACUCCUAGACUAGAAAUAUAAUUCAAGAUUUAAAUAAGGCACUGGUCAUAGUUUUAGAAAGUGUGGCUAGCAUUCUGAAGGAAGACAGAGAGAUGGGAAGACAUCAAAGAAUGGACAGGUCUGCCAUGAAAUGGUUUAUCCAGGGCUAAGUACAGAGAGGAAUAUAGAAGGGCUGUUGACAGAUCUUGUGUGGUGCCCCCAAGGUUCAACAGACUGAUUGAUAGGUAAUGGUAAGAAUUU